UACGUAGGGGGCAAGCGUUGUCCGGAAUUACUGGGCGUAAAGCGCCCGUAGGCGGCUUGUUAAGUCAGGGGUGAAAUCCUGGAGCUCAACUCCAGAACUGCCUUUGAUACUGGCGAGCUUGAGUUCGGGAGAGGUGAGUGGAACUGCGAGUGUAGAGGUGAAAUUCGUAGAUAUUCGCAAGAACACCAGUGGCGAAGGCGGCUCGCUGGCCCGAUACUGACGCUGAGGUGCGAAAGCGUGGGGAGCAAACAGG
rnacentral:rRNA from 1 species